GGUUUGAUUCUGGCUCAGAUUGAACGCUGGCGGGAUGCUUUAUGCAAGUCGAACGGCGGCACGGACUUCGGUCUGGUGGCAGGUAGCGAACGGGUGAGUAAUGUAUCGGAACGUGCUAGUAGCGGGGGAUAACUGCGCGGCGUCGCUAAUACCGCAUACGCCCUUCGGGGGAAAGCGGGGACCUUCGGGCCUGCCGCUAUUGACGAGCGAUAUCGGUUAGCUGGUUAAUUUGGGGUAACGGCUCACCAGGCGACGAUCCGCUCAGCUGGUUUGAGAGGACGACCAACCCACACUGGGACUGGAGACACGGCCCAGACUCCUACGGGAGAGGCAGCAGUGGGGGAAUUUUGGACAAUGGGGAAACCUGAUCCAGCCAUCCCGCGUGUGCGAUGAAGGCCUUCGGGUUUAUCGCUGCUUUGGCAGGAAAGAAACGGCACGGGAUAAUACCCCGUGCAACUGACGGUACCUGCAGGAAUAGCUUCAGCCUAACUACGUGCAACAGCCGCGGUAAUACGUAGGGUGCAAGCGUGGAAUUACUGGGCGUAAAGCGUGCGCAGGCGGUUCGGAAAGAAAGAUGUGAAAUUUAGAGCUUAACUUUGGAACUGCAUUUUUAACCUACCGAGCUAGAGAGUGUGUCGAGAAGGAGUGGAAUUCCGCGUGUAGUGAAAUGCGUAGAUAUGCGGAGAGGAACACCACGAUGGCGAAGGCAGCCUCCUGGGAUAACACUGACGCUCAUGCACGAAAGCGUGGGGAGCAAACAGGAUUAGAUACCCUGGUAGUCCUUAUGAUGUCAACUAGCUGUUGGGGCCUUCGGGCCUUGGUAGCGCAGCUAACGCGUGAAGUUGACCGCCUGGGAAGUACAGUCGCAGAUUAAAACUCAAAGGAAUUGACGGGGACCCGCACAAGCAGUGGAUGAUGUCUGGAUCGAAUUCGAUGCAACGCGAAAAACCUUACCUACCCUUGACAUGUCUGGAAUCCCGAAGAGAUUUGGGAGUGCUCGCAAGAGAACCGGAACACAGGUGCUGCAUGGCUGUCGAUGUCAUGUCGUGAGAUGUUGGGUUAGAUCCCGCAACGAGCGCAACCCUUGUCAUUAGUUGCUACGAAGGGCACUCUAAUGAGACUGCCGGUGACAAACCGGAGGAAAGUGGGGAUGACGUCAGAGUCCUCGCCCAGCCCUUAUGGGUAGGGCUUCACACGUCAUGCAAUGGUCGGGACAGAGGGUCGCCAACCCGCGAGGGGGAGCCAAUCCCAAGAAACCCGAUCGUAGUCGAGUCACCCGGUCUACCGCUCGACUGCGUGAAGUCAGAAUCGCUAGUAAUCGCGGAUCGGCAUGUCGCGGUGAAUACGUUCCCGGGGUCUUGGCACCUACGCCCGUCACACCAUGGGAAUGGGUUUUACCGAAGUAGUUAGCCUAACCGUAAGGAGGCGAUUACCACGGUAAGUUCAUGACUGGGGGUGAAGUCGUAACAAGGUA
rnacentral:rRNA from 1 species